CAAUAGCGUAUAUUAAAGUUGUUGCAGUUAAAAAGCUCGUAGUUGGAUUUGUGGCGUACGGUGUGUUCCGGGCACUUGUUGUCUGAGUAACCUGCUGUUGCCAUCCUUGGGUGGAACCUGUGUGGCAUUAGGUUGUCGUGCAGGGGAUGCCCAUCAUUUACUGUGAAAAAAUUAGAGUGUUCAACGCAGGCUUAUGCCGUUGAAUAUAUUAGCAUGGAAUAAUGAGAUAGGACUUUUUUGCUAUUUUGUUGGUUUGCGCAAAGAGGUAAUGAUUAAUAGGGACAGUUGGGGGUAUUCGUAUUCCAUUGUCAGAGGUGAAAUUCUUGGAUUUUUGGAAGACGAACUACUGCGAAAGCAUUUACCAAGGAUGUUUUCAUUAA
rnacentral:rRNA from 1 species